GGUUCUGAGAGGAAGGUCCCCCACAUUGGAACUGAGACACGGUCCAAACUCCUACGGGAGGCAGCAGUGAGGAAUAUUGGUCAAUGGACGUAAGUCUGAACCAGCCAAGUCGCGUGAGGGAAGACUGCCCUAUGGGUUGUAAACCUCUUUUAUAAGGGAAGAAUAAGUUCUACGUGUAGAAUGAUGCCUGUACCUUAUGAAUAAGCAUCGGCUAACUCCGUGCCAGCAGCCGCGGUAAUACGGAGGAUGCGAGCGUUAUCCGGAUUUAUUGGGUUUAAAGGGUGCGUAGGCGGUUUAUUAAGUUAGUGGUUAAAUAUUUGAGCUAAACUCAAUUGUGCCAUUAAUACUGGUAAACUGGAGUACAGACGAGGUAGGCGGAAUAAGUUAAGUAGCGGUGAAAUGCAUAGAUAUAACUUAGAACUCCGAUAGCGAAGGCAGCUUACCAGACUGUAACUGACGCUGAUGCACGAGAGCGUGGGUAGCGAACAGGAUUAGAUACCCUGGUAGUCCACGCCGUAAACGAUGCUCACUGGUUCUGUGCGAUAUAUUGUACGGGAUUAAGCGAAAGUAUUAAGUGAGCCACCUGGGGAGUACGUCGGCAACGAUGAAACUCAAAGGAAUUGACGGGGGCCCGCACAAGCGGAGGAACAUGUGGUUUAAUUCGAUGAUACGCGAGGAACCUUACCUGGGUUUAAAUGGGAAAUGUCGUAUUUGGAAACAGAUAUUCUCUUCGGAGCGUUUUUCAAGGUGCUGCAUGGUUGUCGUCAGCUCGUGCCGUGAGGUGUCGGGUUAAGUCCCAUAACGAGCGCAACCCUUACCGUUAGUUGCUAGCAUGUAAUGAUGAGCACUCUAACGGGACUGCCACCGUAAGGUGAGAGGAAGGCGGGGAUGACGUCAAAUCAGCACGGCCCUUACACCCAGGGCUACACACGUGUUACAAUGGCCGGUACAGAGGGC
rnacentral:rRNA from 1 species